rnacentral:rRNA from 1 species
UACGAAGGGUGCAAGCGUUACUCGGAAUCACUGGGCGUAAAGCGUGCGUAGGCGGUUGGUUAAGUCUGCUGUGAAAGCCCUGGGCUCAACCUGGGAACUGCAGUGGAUACUGGCCAGCUCGAGUGUGAUAGAGGAUGGUGGAAUUCCCGGUGUAGCGGUGAAAUGCGUAGAGAUCGGGGAGGAACACCAGUGGCGAAGGCGGCCUCUG